UCUUCUAGCUCCUUUUUUUCUUCUAUCAACCCUGGUUCUUUCUCAGGCCAGGUAUAGUUGAAAUUUUUACUUUUUUAUUUCCAUAAUCAUGUUCAAUUCAUUGUGGGUAAAGCUAGGCCACCCCUAAUCUUAGUUUUGACGUUCGCGAACGGUAAUGGGGGCUCUCCUUCAACGUUCUUCCAGCACAUUUUUUUCUUCUCUCAACUCUGUUUCUUUCUCAGGCCAGGUUUGCCUCAAAGAGAAUUUGGUGCAUUGAUCAGAUGCUCAAGGUUCUUUCUGAGGUCCUUCAUUUAUUGAAGAGUGGACUUGGUAAAAAUUCUAAACAUCUCACGGUUAGUUCUGAUUGAACGUAUCCUUUGGGGCUUCUUCAACUUAAUGCAAUGCGCUAGCUGAUAUCUUCUCUAACGAUUUAAACUUUCGAUCGUACAUCACUGUGAACCUUCGUUUCCUUGU